UACAGAGGUCUCAAGCGUUGUUCGGAUUCAUUGGGCGUAAAGGGUGCGUAAGUGGCGCUGUAAGUCAGGUGUGAAAUUUCGGAGCUUAACUCCGAAACUGCAUUUGAUACUGCGGUGCUCGAGGACUGGAGAGGGAGACUGGAAUUUACGGUGUAGCAGUGAAAUGCGUAGAGAUCGUAAGGAAGACCAGUGGCGAAGGCGGGUCUCUGGACAGUUCCUGACACUGAGGCAACGAAAGGCCCAGGGGGAGCAAAACGGGG
rnacentral:rRNA from 1 species